AGGUCAGGUGAAACUUAUCUCGCCUCAUUAGUUGCUUGUUGUUUUUCUCAGAGAGUUGGACCACGCCCAUUAGAAAGUGUAAUCAAAAGAAAGAAAGUGAAAGUGAUAGAAAGAAUAAGAAGUGAAUAUAGGCAAGCAGUUCUACUUAGAUCAGCUUCAUCUCUAUUGAUUGAACUCCACCUAGACCAGUUCGUCAAUAAGUCAACCUUUGGCCAAGGUUUACGACACUAAUUUAUACUAAAGUAUUUUUUUCCUUGAACUGUGAAAGAAAGUGAAUUGAGAUCCCCUUCGAAAGAUAUAUUUUUCAUCAAAAUCGACUAAAAAUUGGAAAGGUUUUAAGAAUAAUCCCUUCUAAGUAUUUAACAAACCAACUUGGUAGGCCUUUUUUAAAACCCUAAAAUAUCCUUAGUCUUUGUCAAAUAUUUAUUUUCAUUCAAGCAAGAUACUGAAACUAAAAAGAAGGAAACAACCCAAAUAGCACUUAUGGAUAUGGUCGACUCUAACAUUGAAGAGAGGCCACAAGCAGCCGCUGAUGAUAAAGAACAAAUGAUGGCAAAAUAUCCGAAUUUUCGUAAACUGAUUUUGAGGCGGAGCAUUGCCAAACCAGUGAAAUUUUUCGAUUCAGGUGAUUAUCAAAUGGCGGCACAGAAUGUUGGCAUAGCAUCGACUGGCAAGAUAAUACCCACACCGGAAACGGUGAGCAUUCGCAAGGUGCCCUCCCCGGUGAAAGGCAAAUAGCCAAAAAUCGAGCACUUAAGCUGCUGGCAGUAUGUCAACCAUCAAUUGUUUGUAAUAAACAUUUCCUCCUAAAAGUAUA